rnacentral:rRNA from 1 species
UACGGGGGGAGCAAGCGUUGUUCGGAUUUACUGGGCGUAAAGGGCGCGUAGGCGGCCAGCGCAAGUCAGUUGUGAAAUCUCCGGGCUUAACUCGGAAAGGUCAACUGAUACUGCGCGGCUAGAGUGCAGAAGGGGCAACUGGAAUUCUCGGUGUAGCGGUGAAAUGCGUAGAUAUCGAGAGGAACACCUGCGGCGAAGGCGGGUUGCUGGGCUGACACUGACGCUGAGGCGCGAAAGCGUGGGGAGCGAACAGG